rnacentral:rRNA from 1 species
GACGAACGCUGGCGGCGUGCCUAACACAUGCAAGUCGAGCGGGGUUGAAGCGAGAGGUAACUCGAACUUCUACCUAGCGGCGGACGGGUGAGUAACGCGUGGGCAACCUGCCUCAAGGUCUGGGAUAACAGCCCGAAAGGGCUGCUAAUACCGGGUAUGCUUGUGGCCUCGCAUGGGGCUAUGAGCAAAGGGGAAACCCGCCUUGAGAUGGGCCCGCGUCCCAUCAGCUAGUUGGUGAGGUAACAGCUCACCAAGGCGACGACGGGUAGCCGGCCUGAGAGGGUGACCGGCCACACUGGGACUGAGACACGGCCCAGACUCCUACGGGGGGCAGGCAGUGGGGGAUCUUGCACAAUGGGCGAAAGCCUGAUGCAGCGACGCCGCGUGAGCGAAGAAGGCCUUCGGUUGUUAAAGCUCUGUCUGGAGGGACGAAGGAAGUGACGGUACCUCCGGAGGAAGGCCACGGCCUAACUAACGUGCCAGCAGCCGCGGUAAAAGUCCACGGUCG